rnacentral:lncRNA from 1 species
UACCAGCUGAGGCUCAUAAGGAGCAUAACAUCUGUAGCUAAUGGUGUAAUUGGACAAGCCCAGAAUCUCUUUUUUGGAUCAUACUUAAAUGUUUACUAAAAUACUGGCAUCAGGAUGAUGAAACAUGAAAUCUCUUUUAAAUUAACAAAGUUCAAAUUACUUUUUCAAGGAGAUGUAUUCUGUGUUUUUUUCAGGAUGGAUAAUGAUUCCUGAGACUUCUCAGAACUGCAAGCCAGAGGAUAAUGUACAUUCAGCAGUGGAGAACACAGACAUGAGAUAUAUUCUACUUUGACAACAACAGCAACAAACCCAUAAAAGGAAGAAGAUCUUGGGAGAAGAGAAUAGAAAUAUCAUCAUACUGAAUCCUAAAGUUGGUGUCUAAGAUUUUUCAUGAAAACCAAUCAGUCUAGAUGGCAGAAUGAUAAGACCAGAUUAUUUUCCUGUUUGGAAUCUAUGUUCUUGACUGAAACUCACUAACAAACCAUAUCACUGUUCUACUGGGCUCUUAAUCCAAAGCCAAAACUAAGAAUGAAGCCCUUGAUAUUACAAAAAUCCAGAAACGUGUUCUGAAUAUGACUUUUCAUCACAAUCUGUAAGCCAGCGUUACACAAAAGAUACAAAUUCUUCUGAUCGCUGCAUGUCUUCUGGAAGGUCUCUAAAGCUGGCUCAUACAAAUUUACAACUACAGUGUGUCUGAAUAGGCAAAGAUUUUUUUUUUUUUCUAUUAGUUUUACAAAGAAAUACUGAAUUUUAUUUGUUGUUAUUAGUAGGAUUUAUGGCAUAGUCUCUAAAAAAUGCAUUAAUAUUUACAUAACUCCACAUGUACAUUCUCAGUUCACUAUAUUUUAAGCAGUUUUAUCAUUUGUUUACAAAGAAGUAAAAACAUAAUCUCAGAAAUUUAUAAGAAGGCUUCUGGACAAAUUUCAUAGAAUGAGUGAUCACACAGGUUUAGAUUUGAUAAAGUUUCUUAUCUCUUUUGUAAGAUGUCGCUUGUACGCACCAUCUGCAACUUAGAAGACUCAGCUUGUAAUUACAGCCACGCACCAAAAGUUGCUGACUCUGGUUUUGAAAUAUUCCAUCAGCCUUCUGGAGACAAGAAAUAACACAGAAUAACUUAGCUGGUCUGCAUUAUGGAUUGUGAAUUGUUAGAUCCAAAAGUUUGCAAAGGAGUUUUAGUCUUAAUAUUGUCACAAAACAUAUUGAAUAGAACCAUCAGGACUGAUUUAUGAUUAGUCUAAAGCCUAAAAUAAAGAGAUUUUUUUCUGAGUAAUGGUAUUUGCA